UACGUAGGGGGCAAGCGUUGUCCGGAAUCAUUGGGCGUAAAGAGCGUGUAGGCGGUUCGGUAAGUCGGCUGUGAAAGUCCAGGGCUCAACCCUGGGAUGCCGGUCGAUACUGCCGGACUAGAGUUCGGAAGAGGCGAGUGGAAUUCCUGGUGUAGCGGUGAAAUGCGCAGAUAUCGGGAGGAACACCUAUGGCGAAGGCAGCUCGCUGGGACGUUACUGACGCUGAGACGCGAAAGCGUGGGGAGCAAACAGG
rnacentral:rRNA from 1 species